rnacentral:tRNA from 1 species
AUGAUUAUGGCGGAAUAGGUAUACGCGAUUAGUUUAGGUCUAAUUUAUUAAGGGUUCAAGUCCCUUUGAUCAUAC